UGAGGAACAUGACCUUCGGCGGGGGAUAGCCGGCCCAACGGCCGGGUAAUACCGCGUACGACCACAUGGGGACAUCCCUGAGUGGUGAAAGCAGCAAUGCGCCGAUGGAGUGCCUCGCGGCCUAUCAGCUAGUUGGUGUGGGUAACGGCCCACCAAGGAGACGACGGGUAGCCGGCCUGAGAGGGUGACCGGCCACACUGGGACUGAGACACGGCCCAGACUCCGUACGGGAGCAGCAGG
rnacentral:rRNA from 1 species